rnacentral:rRNA from 1 species
UACGAAGGGGGCUAGCGUUGUUCGGAAUUACUGGGCGUAAAGCGCGCGCAGGCGGUCUUCCAAGUCAGUGGUGAAAGCCUGGAGCUCAACUCCAGAACUGCCAUUGAAACUGUUAGACUUGAGUACGAGAGAGGUGAGUGGAAUUCCCAGUGUAGAGGUAAAAUUCGUAGAUAUUGGGAAGAACACCAGUGGCGAAGGCGGCUCACUGGCUCGUAACUGACGCUCAGGCGCGACAGCGUGGGGAUCAAACAGG